UUCCGGUUGAUCCCGCCGGACCUGACUGCUAUCGGAUUGAUACUAAGCCAUGCGAGUCUUUGCAGUAAUGCAAGGCAGACGGCUCAGUAACACGUAGUCAACUUACCCUAUGGACGAGGAUAAUCUCGGGAAACUGAGCAUAAUACUCGAUAGAUCAUAAUGCCUGGAAUGGUUUAUGAUUAAAAUGAUUCGUCGCCAUAGGAUGGGACUGCGGCCUAUCAGCUUGUUGGUGAGGUAAUGGCCCACCAAGGCGAUUACAGGUACGGGCUCUGAGAGGAGAAGCCCGGAGAUGGGUACUGAGACAAGGACCCAGGCCCUAUGGGGCGCAGCAGGCGAGAAAACUUUGCAAUGUGCGAAAGCACGACAAGGUUAAUCCGAGUGAUUUCUGCUAAAGAAAUCUUUUGCAAGUCAUAAAACCACUAGUGAAUAAGGGGUGGGCAAGUUCUGGUGUCAGCCGCCGCGGUAAAACCAGCACCUCAAGUGGUCAGGAGGAUUAUUGGGCCUAAAGCAUCCGUAGCCGGCUCUGUAAGUUUUCGGUUAAAUCCAUGUGCUCAACGCAUGGGCUGCCGAAAAUACUGCAUAGCUAGGGAGUGGGAGAGGUAGACGGUACUCAGUAGGAAGGGGUAAAAUCCUUUGAUCUAUUGAUGACCACCUGUGGCGAAGGCGGUCUACCAGAACACGUUCGACGGUGAGGGAUGAAAGCUGGGGGAGCAAACCGGAUUAGAUACCCGGGUAGUCCCAGCUGUAAACGAUGCAGACUCGAUGAUGCAUUGGCAUAUAGCCAGUGCAGUGUCGCAGGGAAGCCGUUAAGUCUGCCGCCUGGGAAGUACGUACGCAAGUAUGAAACUUAAAGGAAUUGGCGGGGGAGCACCACAAGGGGUGAAGCCUGCGGUUCAAUUGGAAUCAACGCCGGA
rnacentral:rRNA from 1 species